rnacentral:rRNA from 1 species
UACGUAGGGGGCAAGCGUUGUCCGGAAUCACUGGGCGUAAAGCGCGCGCAGGCGGCCAUUCAAGUCAGGGGUGAAAGCCCAGAGCUCAACUCUGGAACUGCCCUUGAAACUGUAUGGCUUGAGUAUGAGAGAGGUGAGUGGAAUUCCCAGUGUAGAGGUGAAAUUCGUAGAUAUUGGGAAGAACACCGGUGGCGAAGGCGGCUCACUGGCUCAUUACUGACGCUCAGGCGCGACAGCGUGGGGAUCAAACAGG